AUUGAACGCUGGCGGCAGGCCUAACACAUGCAAGUCGAACGAGUGGCGGACGGGUGAGUAAUGUCUGGGAAACUGCCUGAUGGAGGGGGAUAACUACUGGAAACGGUAGCUAAUACCGCAUACCAUCGGAUGUGCCCAGGUGGGAUUAGCUGGUAGGUGGGGUAACGGCUCACCUAGGCGACGAUCCCUAGCUGGUCUGAGGGGAUGACCGGCCACACUGGAACUGAGACACGGUCCAGACUCCUACAGGAGGCAGCGGUGGGGAAUAGUGCAAUAUGGGCGAAAGCCUGAUGGAGCCAUGCCGCGUGUAUGAGGGAGGCAUUCGGGUUGUAAAGUACUUACAGCGGGGAGGCGUUACGCGCAGAAGAAGCGCCGGCUAACUCCGUGCCAGCAGCCGCGGUAAUUC
rnacentral:rRNA from 1 species